rnacentral:sRNA from 1 species
GACAAUCCCGAUCAUCUUCUCGUCGCCUCAGCUGGACAAGACACUUAUGUCAGACUAUGGGCAAUUGAACCAGAAACUGAUGAAAAGUCUGAAAAUAUUCGCGAAGAUUCUUCAACUACACCACCAGAUGAACUGACAUCAUCAGCUAAUCUCUUCUCAAUCAACUAUACACCAUACCGUUGUAGUUCACAUGCUGUAAUGCAGGGACAUGAUGAUUGGGUUCAUUCGACAGUUUGGUCAAAUGAUGGAAGAGUUCUGCUCACGGCGAGCAGCGAUAAAACUUGUAUUAUUUGGAAAGAAAUCGAUAAUCUUUGGAGAGAUGAUGUUCGGCUGGGAAUUGUUGGUGGAGGACAGGCUGCUGGAUUCUUUGCUGCAGUUUUUUCUUCAUCGUUGGAUUUGAAGGAUUCCGGCGAAAAGUUAGAGUUAUUCGAGUUUUGGAGUAAAAAAAAACAAAAAAAAAAUCUAAAAUUCGGUUUUUGACUCCUCGCGGUUGAUUGUUUGGAGUUUGCCAGAAAAAUAGCCAAAAAAAACAAAAAAAAUUAAUUUUGUCUUUUAAGAAAAUUUUAUUCGAAAAAAACCAGAAAAGAAACACAAUUUCCUUCAAAUACAGAACAAAAUUAUUUGUUUUUCCGAAUAAAAAAAACCAAAAAUCCAAAAUUUGCCUUAAAAACCCAAAAAAAAACUUUUUUUUUCCAAUAAUCAUUUUUUUUCGGAAAAAAACCAAUUUUUUUCAAAAAAAAAAACUAAACAAAAAAUGCAUUUUUCCGAGAAAAAAACCAAAAAAUUGAUUAUUUUACUAGGAAAAGCUCAAAAAUAGCCAUUUUUGCCAAAACAAAAAUCAUUUUUGUCAAAAAAAAAACCAAAAAACCAAAAAAAAAUAGCAAUAAAUAAGAAAACGACAAAAAAAUGUACCGAAAAAUCCCGAUUUUGCCUAAAAAAAGACAUUUAAAAAAUAUAUUUCUGCCAAAAAAAUCUUUUUUUUUUCAAAAAAAUCAUUAUUUUACCAGAAAAAGCUCAAUGAAUAGCUUUUUUUGCCAAUAAUGUCUUAUUUAUGACAGAAAAUUCUAAAAAAAUUGAUUUAAAAAAAAAAAAAAACAAAAAAUGAAUUUUUCGCCACAAAACCCAAAAAAAUUCAUUGUUUUAACAGAAAGAGACCAAUAAAUAAUCUUUUUUGCCAAGAAAAACCCAUUUUUGGCAAAAAAAACCCCAGUUUUUUUGGCAAAAAAAACCCCAGAUUUUAAAAAAUCCCAAAAAAUCGAUUUUUCAAGACAAAAGAAACCUUAAAAUUAAUUAUUUUUUCGGGGAAAAAGCCCAAAAAUAGCCUUUUUUGCCGAAAAAUCCAAUUAUUUUUCCAAAAUAAAAUUUGAAAAAUUCAUAUUUACCACAAAAAAAAGCCCCAGAAAUCAAUUUCUAAAAUAACAUUUUCCAGAAAUGCCGAAAAUGUGGUGAUCAGCAGCUCAUAUUUCGGCGGCCUUCACUGUUGGAAGUCCACAGACGAACAGAAAACCUUCUGGACAGCACUACCAAUGACUGGUGGACAUGUUGGAGAAGUUCGCGAUGUUGAUUGGCAUAGAUCUGAUGACGGGGAUUCCGGCUUUCUGAUGAGUGUCGGGCAGGAUCAGACUACGAGAGUUUUCGCGAAAAAUGGGAGACAG